rnacentral:lncRNA from 1 species
AUUCCCCCUUAUCCCCCCUAUUUCCCCCUUAUACCCCCCAGGUACAUCCAGAACUCUCAGCCCCAGCUGAACAACCUCACAGCCGUGGGCUGCACCCUGGCCCUGGCGGCUGUUUUCCCUUUGGGGUUGGAUGGAUACCACGUGCAGCCCGGGCUCUUCCCACUCGUCUGCCAGGUGGGGGCAUAUGGGGGGGAUUUGGGGUCCCUUUAGGGUCCCUUUAGGGUCCAUUGGGUUCUAUUUGGGGUCCAUUUGGGUCCAUUUGGGGUCACAGUGGGGUCCUUAGGGUCCAUUUAGGGUCCCUUUGGGGUCCCUUUGGGUCCCUUUGGGUCCAUUUGGGGUCACAGUGGGGUCCUUAGGGUCCAUUUGGAUCCAUUUGGGUCCAUUUGGGGUCACAGUGGGGUCCUUUGGGUCCAUUUGGGGUCACAGUGGGGUCCUUUGGGUCCAUUUGGGUCCAUUUGGGGUCAUUUGGGGUCCCUUAGGGUCCAUUUGGGGUCACAGUGGGGUCCUUUGGGUCCAUUUGGGGUCACAGUGGGGUCCUUUGGGUCCAUUUGGGUCCAUUUGGGGUCACAGUGGGGUCCUUAGGGUCCAUUUGGGUCCAUUAGGGUCCAUAUGGGGUCACAGUGGGGUCCUUAGGGUCCAUUUGGGUCCAUUAGGGUCCAUAUGGGGUCACAGUGGGGUCCUUUGGGUCCCUUUGGGGUCCCUUUGGGUCCAUUUGGGGUCACAGUGGGGUCCUUUGGGUCCAUUUGGGGUCCCUUUGGGGUCCUUUGGUUCCAUUUGGGUCCAUUUGGGGUCAUUUCAGGUCCAUUUGGGUCCAUUUGGGGUCCCUUUGGGUCCAUUUGGGGUCACGGUGGGGUCCUUUGGGUCCAUUUGGGUCCCUUUAGGGUCCAUUUGGGGUCCCUUUGGGUCCAUUUGGGGUCACA